rnacentral:rRNA from 1 species
GACGAACGCUGGCGGCGUGCUUAACACAUGCAAGUCGAACGGAAAGGCCCUGCUUUUGUGGGGUGCUCGAGUGGCGAACGGGUGAGUAACACGUGAGUAACCUGCCCUUUACUUUGGGAUAACUUCAGGAAACUGGGGCUAAUACCGGGUAGGAGCUCCUGCUGCAUGGUGGGGGUUGGAAAGUUUCGGCGGUUGGGGAUGGACUCGCGGCUUAUCAGCUUGUUGGUGGGGUAGUGGCUUACCAAGGCUUUGACGGGUAGCCGGCCUGAGAGGGUGACCGGCCACAUUGGGACUGAGAUACGGCCCAGACUCCUACGGGAGGCAGCAGUGGGGAAUAUUGCACAAUGGGCGGAAGCCUGAUGCAGCAACGCCGCGUGCGGGAUGACGGCCUUCGGGUUGUAAACCGCUUUCGCCUGUGACGAAGCGUGAGUGACGGUAAUGGGUAAAGAAGCACCGGCUAACUACGUG